rnacentral:rRNA from 1 species
AUUGAACGCUGGCGGCAGGCUUAACACAUGCAAGUCGAGCGGGGGGAGGUAGCUUGCUACCGGACCUAGCGGCGGACGGGUGAGUAAUGCUCAGGAAUCUGCCUAUUAGUGGGGGACAACAUCUCGAAAGGGAUGCUAAUACCGCAUACGUCCUACGGGAGAAAGCAGGGGAUCUUCGGACCUUGCGCUAAUAGAUGAGCCUAAGUCGGAUUAGCUAGUUGGUGGGGUAAAGGCCUACCAAGGCGACGAUCUGUAGCGGGUCUGAGAGGAUGCUCCGCCACACUGGGACGGCGACACGGCGCAGACUCUGACGGGAGGCAGCAGUGGGGAAUAUUGGACAAUGGGGGGAACCCUGAUCCAGCCAUGCCGCGUGUGUGAAGAAGGCCUUAUGGUUGUAAAGCACUUUAAGCGAGGAGGAGGCUACUUUAGUUAAUACCUAGAGAUAGUGGACGUUACUCGCAGAAUAAGCACCGGCUAACUCUGUGCCAGCAGCCGCCGCCG